GCGGGAAUGGCGGAAUUGGCAGACGCGCACGGUUCAGGUCCGUGUGAAAGCAAUUUCAUGCAGGUUCAAGUCCUGUUUCCCGCACCA
rnacentral:tRNA from 2 species